UGCUGGCUGAGCCCGCGGCCACGGCCACGGCGGCGGCGGCGGCGGCGGGAGCUGGAUGCUCUCGGGCUCCGUGCGGCUCCAGCCGUUUUCCUCCCUGGUGCAGCGCCAACGCGUCCCCGCGGGAGAGGGAAACCCACGGCGCGUAGCUGGAGAACUCUGCUGUCUCAGUCUAGGGGCUCCUCGGGAGAAAGCCAGGUGCCCCCAGGUGACGCCGGUGUCCCAAAACGGCCCCGGCACGCCGGCCGCCAGCUUGCACCUUUUGGGAACCGCGACCGCCGAGCGUCUUCCAGCGCCUGCAAGCAGGGCGCGCGGGGGAGAGUGGUGUCCACCUCGUGGGCAGGGGCGACGAGGACACCGAGGAUGGACGCACGGAGCUGGCGCGCGGGGUGUUGCUGUCUCCUCCUUCUGGCUCUGGUUGGGUCUCCUCGGAGCGAGGGAAUGCAGAGCUGCGAAGAAGUUCGGAAACUUUUCCAGGGGCGCCUGGUGGGAGCUGUCAAGGGGCUCCCGGAUUCGCCGCGGGCAGGAUCUGAUCUUCAGGUUUGUGUAUCCAAAAAACCUACAUGUUGCAGCAGGAGGAUGGAGGAGAGAUACCAGAUUGCAGCUCGUCAAGAUAUGCAGCAAGUGCUUCAAACAUCCAGUUCAACAUUAAAGUUUUUGAUAUCGCGAAAUGCUGCAGCUUUUCAAGACAAAAAUUUGUCAUUUGAACUGGUUGAACCAGAACUAGAAGACUUUAACCAAACAGACGGAGUGAUAUGAUGAUUUUUUUCUCAUAAAAAUGCACAACAUGCACAAUAUGGAUAAUGCAUUGUAGAGAUAAAGGGACAAUAAACAAGUUUGACCAGAACA
rnacentral:lncRNA from 1 species